rnacentral:rRNA from 1 species
UACAGAGGGUGCGAGCGUUAAUCGGAAUUACUGGGCGUAAAGGGCGCGUAGGCGGUUAUUUAAGUUAGAUGUGAAAUCCCUGGGUUAACCUAGGAAUUGCAUCUGAUACUGGAUGGCUUGAGUGCAGAAGAGGAGAGUGGAAUUCCACGUGUAGCGGUGAAAUGCGUAGAGAUGUGGAGGAACACCAGUGGCGAAGGCGACUCUCUGGGACGGUACUGACGCUGAUGUGCGAAAGCGUGGGGAGCAAACAGG